rnacentral:rRNA from 1 species
UACGAAGGGGGCUAGCGUUGCUCGGAAUCACUGGGCGUAAAGGGUGCGUAGGCGGGUCUUUAAGUCAGGGGGUGAAAUCCUGGAGCUCAACUCCAGAACUGCCUUUUGAUACUGAAGAUCUUGAGUUCGGGAGAGGUGAGUGGAACUGCGAGUGUAGAGGUGAAAUUCGUAGAUAUUCGCAAGAACACCAGUGGCGAAGGCGGCUCACUGGCCCGGUACUGACGCUGAG